CUCAGGCUCAACUCAGCUCAGCUCAGCUCACUGGUAGUACGUGGCUGCAGUGCAGACUGCAGAGACGGAAGAGUUCACCCGUCACUCGCUAGCUAUCUCCUUUCAGUCGAGUCACCGGCUCACCGCCAUGGCGCUUAGCCUCCGGGCCGCCGCGUCCCUCGCCUCUCCGCCGUCAGGCGCACGCCCCGGCCGACGCGCCGCCUCGGUGGUCCGCGCCACAGCGUCCCCUGCGGCGAGAGCAGAACGUCUCCGGCGAGUUCUUCGUCGACCACCGGUGCAUCGACUGCGCCAUCUGCCGGUGGAUGGCGCCGGAGGUGUUCAAGAGGGUGGACGGCAUGUCCGCCGUGGCAGCGCAGCCCAGCUUCGAGGAGGAGAGGACCAAGGCACUGCAGGCUUUGCUCUCUUGCCCAACAGCCUCCAUCCACACCGACAAGCCCGCGAAGGACAUUCUCCAAGUGCAGAACACGUUCCCGCUCCCCAUCAACGACGAUCUUCCUGGUGUUUACCUUUGCGGUUACCAUUCGGAGUCCUCAUAUGGAGCAACAUCAUAUCUCAUAGUCCACCCAGAAGGAAACAUAAUGGUUGACAGUCCAAGGUAUACGCCGAGACUGGUGGACAAGAUUGAGAAGCUCGGUGGAGCGCGCUACAUAUUUUUGACCCACAUUGAUGAUGUAGCGGAUCAUCGGAAGUGGGCCGAGCGGUUGAAAUGCGAGAGAAUCAUCCAUUUAGGAGAUGUAGUGGACAUUACUGCUGAUGUCGAGUGGAAACUUACUGGAAGUGGUCCCUGGAACAUUGGAAAUGAUUUUGAACUUAUCCAUACCCCAGGCCAUACUGAAGUAAGAAACCCAACUCAAUGAAUAGAAUUAUGCUUGUAUAUUGUUCUUUGGAUAGACAAGAUGGAUGGAUGGUAAUGUUGUCAUUAAUUCUUUUGGUCAUUUUAGCAAUAAUUAUCUUGCACCAUACUGAUCUUUUCCUACACAUCUAAGGUAAGAUUCACUCAUGAAAAUGAAAACAUUUCAUGUAGGGCUCGGUCUGCUUGUUGUACAAACCACUAAAGGCGCUAUUCACUGGCGACCAUGUCGCAAAAUCAGAAUAUUCAGACGAACUGAAUCUCUUUCGGAUGUACAGCAAGCAAUCAGUGAAUUUGCAACUGGAUAGUAUGAGGAAGUUACUGGACCUAGAUUUUGAGUGGUAUUUACCUGGGCAUGGCUAUCGAAUCCGGUAUGAAAAUGUACAGGCCAAAAAUGCAGCUAUUGAGUCUCUCCUAGCUAACUACAAAAACUAAGGCGCAUCUUGUGAUCACAUGCUUCCCAAAUAAGGAUUCCAGAAUAAAGGGACCAGGUUGAUAUGAAGUCCCAGUGUCCAACGAAAUAAUGAUCGAUGCUUUUACAUUUUGUCCAAACAUCAUGUAUUGUGGUACUUCAUAUCUCUCUCCAAGAUGUACAAGGCAUGGGUAUCCUUAUAUCAAAUUAGUAAUAUUAUUGGAUCAUCCUGCAAAAGAAAAUAUAUUUGCUUGCAGCAGAUUGUACAAGCAAGGAAAUCAUUCAGUCACUUUAGUAGAUCAAGC
rnacentral:rRNA from 1 species